rnacentral:rRNA from 1 species
AGCGAACGCUGGCGGCAGGCCUAACACAUGCAAGUCGAACGAAGUCUUCGGACUUAGUGGCGGACGGGUGAGUAACACGUGGGAACGUGCCUUUAGGUUCGGAAUAACUCAGGGAAACUUGUGCUAAUACCGAAUGUGCCCUUCGGGGGAAAGAUUUAUCGCCUUUAGAGCGGCCCGCGUCUGAUUAGCUAGUUGGUGAGGUAAAGGCUCACCAAGGCUACGAUCAGUAGCUGGCCUGAGAGGAUGACCAGCCACAUUGGGACUGAGACACGGCCCAAACUCCUACGGGAGGCAGCAGUGGGGAAUCUUGCGAAAUGGGCGAAAGCCUGACGCAGCCAUGCCGCGUGGAUGAUGAGGGUCUUAGGAUUGUAAAAUCCUUUCACCGGUGAAGAUAAUGACUGUAGCCGGAGAAGAAGCCCCGGCUAACUUCGUGCCAGCAGCCGCCGUAAAAC